GCCAGCGUAGCUCAAUCGGUUGGAGCACCGGUCACAACCGGAGGUUGCGGGUUCAAAUCCUCGCCGCUGGCG
rnacentral:tRNA from 1 species